CCUACGGGAGGCAGCAGUGAGGAAUAUUGGUCAAUGGACGCAAGUCUGAACCAGCCAAGCCGCGUGCGGGAAGAAGGUUCUAUGAGUUGUAAACCGCUUUUGUACGGGGGUAAAGGCAGCUACGCGUGUCUGUCUGAGAGUAUCGGACGAAUAAGCAUCGGCUAACUCCGUGCCAGCAGCCGCGGUAAUACGGAGGAUGCGAGCGUUAUCCGGAUUUAUUGGGUUUAAAGGGUGCGUAGGCGGUGGAUUAAGUUAGCGGUAAAAUCGUGGGGCUCAACUCCGGCCAGCCGUUGAGACUGUUCGUCUAGAGUGUGCGUGCGGUAGGCGGAAUGUGUGGUGUAGCGGUGAAAUGCUUAGAUAUCACACAGAACUCCGAUUGCGAAGGCAGCAUACC
rnacentral:rRNA from 1 species